UACGGAGGGUGCAAGCGUUAAUCGGAAUUACUGGGCGUAAAGCGCACGCAGGUGGCUGAGUCAGUCGAUUGUGAAAGCCCUGGGCUUAACCUGGGAAUUGCAGUCGAUACUACUCAGCUAGAGUAUGGGAGAGGGCAGUGGAAUUCCCGGUGUAGCGGUGAAAUGCGUAGAUAUCGGGGAGGAACAUCAGUGGCGAAGGCGGCUGCCUGGCCCAAUACUGACACUCAGGUGCGACAGCGUGGGGAGCAAACAGG
rnacentral:rRNA from 1 species